CCUGGGGGCCCCCGAUGACGAAGCGGCCGCUGGGCUGCAGGUGGUAGAUGGUGUCCUCGUCCAGGUACUUGGGGGGCACCACGGCUUUGAUCACUUUCUCCUUCAGGGCGUCGCGCAUCUCAUCCAGGCACACCUCCUCGUCGUGCUGCACCGAGAUGACGAUGGUGUGCACGCGGAUGGGGAUGACGGCGCCGCGGUCCUGCAUGUACUGCACCGUCACCUGUGUCUUGGAGUCGGGGCGCAGCCAGGGCAGGGUGCCGUUGCGGCGCAGCUCGGCCAGCUUGGCGUUCAGUUUGUGCGCCAGCACGAUGGUGAGCGGCAUGCACUCCUCCGUCUCAUCCGUGGCGUAACCAAACAUCAACCCCUGAUCGCCGGCGCCGA
rnacentral:lncRNA from 1 species